GACGAACGCUGGCGGCGUGCUUAACACAUGCAAGUCGAACGGAAAGGCCCUGCUUUUGUGGGGUGCUCGAGUGGCGAACGGGUGAGUAACACGUGAGUAACCUGCCCUUGACUUUGGGAUAACUUCAGGAAACUGGGGCUAAUACCGGAUAGGAGCUCCUGCUGCAUGGUGGGGGUUGGAAAGAUUCGGCGGUUGGGGAUGGACUCGCGGCUUAUCAGCUUGUUGGUGGGGUAGUGGCUUACCAAGGCUUUGACGGGUAGCCGGCCUGAGAGGGUGACCGGCCACAUUGGGACUGAGAUAGGGCCCAGACUCCUACGGGAGGCAGCAGUGGGGAAUAUUGCACAAUGGGCGGAAGCCUGAGGCAGCAACGCCGCGUGCGGGAGGACGGCCUUCGGGUGGUAAACCGCUUUCGCCUGUGACGAAGCGUGAGUGACGGUAAUGGGUAAAGAAGCACCGGCGAACUACGU
rnacentral:rRNA from 1 species